rnacentral:rRNA from 1 species
UACGUAGGUGGCAAGCGUUGUCCGGAUUUACUGGGCGUAAAGGGCGUGCAGGCGGUUUGUUAAGUGCAGGGUGAAAGCCCCCGGCUCAACUGGGGAGGGUCACGCGAUACUGUUCGACUCGAAGGCAGGAGAGGGAAGUGGAAUUCCCGGUGUAGUGGUGAAAUGCGUAGAUAUCGGGAGGAACACCAGUGGCGAAGGCGACUUCCUGGCCUGUUCUUGACGCUGAGGCGCGAAAGCUAGGGUAGCAAACGGG